rnacentral:rRNA from 1 species
GCGUAAAGGGCUCGCAGGCGGUUUCUUAAGUCUGAUGUGAAAGCCCCCGGCUCAACCGGGGAGGGUCAUUGGAAACUGGGGAACUUGAGUGCAGAAGAGGAGAGUGGAAUUCCACGUGUAGCGGUGAAAUGCGUAGAGAUGUGGAGGAACACCAGUGGCGAAGGCGACUCUCUGGUCUGUAACUGACGCUGAGGAGCGAAAGCGUGGGGAGCGAACAGGAUUAGAUACCCUGGUAGUCCACGCCGUAAACGAUGAGUGCUAAGUGUUAGGGGGUUUCCGCCCCUUAGUGCUGCAGCUAACGCAUUAAGCACUCCGCCUGGGGAGUACGGUCGCAAGACUGAAACUCAAAGGAAUUGACGGGGGCCCGCACAAGCGGUGGAGCAUGUGGUUUAAUUCGAAGCAACGCGAAGAACCUUACCAGGUCUUGACAUCCUCUGACAAUCCUAGAGAUAGGACGUCCCCUUCGGGGGCAGAGUGACAGGUGGUGCAUGGUUGUCGUCAGCUCGUGUCGUGAGAUGUUGGGUUAAGUCCCGCAACGAGCGCAACCCUUGAUCUUAGUUGCCAGCAUUCAGUUGGGCACUCUAAGGUGACUGCCGGUGACAAACCGGAGGAAGGUGGGGAUGACGUCAAAUCAUCAUGCCCCUUAUGACCUGGGCUACACACGUGCUACAAUGG